rnacentral:rRNA from 1 species
CUUCGGGGUGGAUUAGUGGCGAACGGGUGAGUAACACGUGGGCAAUCUGCCCUUCACUCUGGGACAAGCCCUGGAAACGGGGUCUAAUACCGGAUAACACUCUGUCCCGCAUGGGACGGGGUUAAAAGCUCCGGCGGUGAAGGAUGAGCCCGCGGCCUAUCAGCUUGUUGGUGGGGUAAUGGCCUACCAAGGCGACGACGGGUAGCCGGCCUGAGAGGGCGACCGGCCACACUGGGACUGAGACACGGCCCAGACUCCUACGGGAGGCAGCAGUGGGGAAUAUUGCACAAUGGGCGAAAGCCUGAUGCAGCGACGCCGCGUGAGGGAUGACGGCCUUCGGGUUGUAAACCUCUUUCAGCAGGGAAGAAGCGAAAGUGACGGUACCUGCAGAAGAAGCGCCGGCUAACUACGUGCCAGCAGCCGCGGUAAUACGUAGGGCGCAAGCGUUGUCCGGAAUUAUUGGGCGUAAAGAGCUCGUAGGCGGCUUGUCACGUCGGAUGUGAAAGCCCGGGGCUUAACCCCGGGUCUGCAUUCGAUACGGGCUAGCUAGAGUGUGGUAGGGGAGAUCGGAAUUCCUGGUGUAGCGGUGAAAUGCGCAGAUAUCAGGAGGAACACCGGUGGCGAAGGCGGAUCUCUGGGCCAUUACUGACGCUGAGGAGCGAAAGCGUGGGGAGCGAACAGGAUUAGAUACCCUGGUAGUCCACGCCGUAAACGUUGGGAACUAGGUGUUGGCGACAUUC